rnacentral:rRNA from 1 species
GCCAGCACCUAUAUCACCCUGCAGCUCACAACUGGCAGCCCACUGAAGCUCAGCAGGUGUGAAGCCUGGUCAGUACCUGGAUGGGAGACUCCUGGGAAAAACUAAGGUUGCUGCUGGAA